rnacentral:lncRNA from 1 species
CCUGGCCUAGGCUGGGCUUCCUGUUAACAGGAUGCAGGUUCACACCACAGGUUCACAUUGCAGCUGGCUCCACCCCUGACCCAAAGGGACAUAGAUUCCUCUUUGGUGGGCACUCUGGAACUCCUUGGACUCAUUUGCAAGGCUAAGCUCUGCAUGGUAUAAAAACUUGGGAGAGAAUAAGAAAGAUGUGACUGGCAUUGCAAGAUAAAGACUGGAGUUAUUAGCAAAGAAGAACCACACAUACCUAGGAGACUCUGCAAUACAAGAAAUACAGCAGCUCUGAAUGGAGCACCUGCCUAUACGACUUACUCAUGAGCUCAGGUUUGGAGACACCGUCUAUGAAACACAAAGCAGGAACGGGCCAGCCUCUGACGGGUGUCAGAGAGGCAGGAUGACAGUCAGCCGUGGAUUGUGAAAUGUGCAAAACAACAAAAUGGACCAGUUGGAAUAGAGGAAUGACAAGAAGUUGAAGCCAGCACUUAGGAAAGAUUGUGUAACGGAUGAAGAAACUAGCCUCCGCCUAAACCACAAGGACUUCUGGGAUCAUCCUGUUGGUGGCACUGUUACCAGGGUCUCAGCAGUGUUUGUAUGUGUUGGGUACCGCUGGGCCAGCGGAUGGAGACAGAACUGCCACUGGGUCCUUGGUGUGUCGGAUCCCAUCGCCGAAUUCGGAUUUGGCGCACAGAUUGCUGGUGUCAGAUGACUCUGAGCAGUGACACCGAAAGGGAACCGGAAACAGCCCCUGCCCUAUCUGGGCUGGUGGAUGGAGGCC